rnacentral:rRNA from 1 species
AAAUUGAAGAGUUUGAUCAUGGCUCAGAUUGAACGCUGGCGGCAGGCCUAACACAUGCAAGUCGAACGGUAACAGGAAGAAGCUUGCUUCUUUGCUGACGAGUGGCGGACGGGUGAGUAAUGUCUGGGAAACUGCCUGAUGGAGGGGGAUAACUACUGGAAACGGUAGCUAAUACCGCAUAACGUCGCAAGACCAAAGAGGGGGACCUUCGGGCCUCUUGCCAUCGGAUGUGCCCAGAUGGGAU